GUGAACGUUACCAAACUGUUGCCUCGGCGGGAUCUCUGCCCCGGGUGCGUCGCAGCCCCGGACCAAGGCGCCCGCCGGAGGACCAACCAAAACUCUUAUUGUAUACCCCCUCGCGGGUUUUUUUAUAAUCUGAGCCUUCUCGGCGCCCCUCGUGGGCGUUUCGAAAAUGAAUCAAAACUUUCAACAACGGAUCUCUUGGUUCUGGCAUCGAUGAAGAACGCAGCGAAAUGCGAUAAGUAAUGUGAAUUGCAGAAUUCAGUGAAUCAUCGAAUCUUUGAACGCACAUUGCGCCCGCCAGUAUUCUGGCGGGCAUGCCUGUCCGAGCGUCAUUUCAACCCUCGAACCCCUCCGGGGGGUCGGCGUUGGGGAUCGGCCCUCCCUCUGCGGGGGCCGUCUCCGAAAUCCAGUGGCGGUCUCGCCGCAGCCUCUCCUGCGCAGUAGUUUGCACACUCGCACCGGGAGCGCGGCGCGUCCACAGCCGUUAAACACCCAACUUUCUGAAAUGUUGACCUCGGAUCAGGUAGGAAUACCCGCUGAACUUAAGCAUAUCAAUAAGCGGAG
rnacentral:rRNA from 1 species